CCUACGGGUGGCAGCAGUGAGGAAUAUUGGUCAAUGGCCGGAAGGCUGAACCAGCCAUGCAGCGUGAAGGUCAGGGCCCUAUGGGCGUUAAACUUCUUUUGUGCGGGAGCAAUAAUGGUCACGUGUGGCCAGACGAGAGUACCGUACGAAUAAGCAUCGGCUAACUCCGUGCCAGCAGCCGCGGUAAUACGGGGGAUGCAAGCGUUAUCCGGAUUUAUUGGGUUUAAAGGGUGCGUAGGCUGUGAGGUAAGUCAGCGGUGAAAUGCCCCCGCUCAACGGGGUGAAGUGCCAUUGAUACUGGCUGGCUGGAAUGCGGAUGCCGUGGGAGGAAUGUGUGGUGUAGCGGUGAAAUGCAUAGAUAUCACACAGAACACCGAUUGCGAAGGCAUCUCACGAAUCCGCGAUUGACGCUGAUGCACGAAAGCGUGGGUAUCAAACAGGAUUAGAUACCCUUGUAGUC
rnacentral:rRNA from 1 species